UAUGUGAUCGUCUCUCGCAUAUCAAUAAGCGGAGGAAAAGAAACUAACAAGGAUUCCCCUAGUAACGGCGAGUGAAGCGGGAAGAGCUCAAAUUUGAAAUCUUAAAGGGUUUCCCUUUACGAAUUGUAGUUUAAAGAAGUGUUUUCUGUUGAGGUUUUGGUAAAAGUUCUUUGGAAUAGGACAUCAUAGAGGGUGAGAAUCCCGUAUUUGACCUUUACUUUCAACUUUGUGAUACACUUUCAAAGAGUCGGAUUGUUUGGGAAUGCAGUCCAAAAUGGGUGGUAAAUUUCAUCUAAAGCUAAAUAUUGGCGAGAGACCGAUAGCGAACAAGUACCGUGAGGGAAAGAUGAAAGGAACUUUGAAAAGAGAGUUAAACAGUACGUGAAAUUGUCAAAAGGGAAGCGUUUGACACCAGUGUUGUUUUUCUGAAAAUCAAUUAAAGAACUGUUUAUGCUAAGCUGUUUAGACUUUAUCAGCUAUCUGUUUAGUUUUGAGCUUUCUCUUAAUGCACUUUUCAGUUAACAAGUCAACAUCAAUUUCUUUUGCUGUAAAAAAGCUUGAGGAAGGUGGCUUGAGAUUCGUCUUAAGUGUUUAUAGCCUCUUGCCUAUGCAGUCGGAGAGAUUGAGGUCUGCAGCGUAGAUCCUUCGGGGCUAAAUGCAUUUGUGCUAAGUUAUAGCAUUUUAUAGACAACUUGUUGACUAUGAUUUGUCUUGUAGCUUACUCGCUUAUGUUAUUUUACCUACGCUUAGGAUGUUGAGCGCAUGUCUCUCUCU
rnacentral:rRNA from 1 species